UACGGGGGGGGCAAGCGUUGUUCGGAAUUACUGGGCGUAAAGGGCGCGUAGGCGGUUUGCUAAGUUGAAUGUGAAAACUCUGGGCUUAACCCAGAGCCUGCGUUCAAUACUGGCAGGCUAGAGUUCUGGAGGGGAUAGCGGAAUUCCUGGUGUAGCGGUGAAAUGCGUAGAUAUCAGGAGGAACACCGGUGGCGAAGGCGGCUAUCUGGACAGAGUCUGACGCUGAGGCGCGAAAGCUAGGGGAGCAAACGGG
rnacentral:rRNA from 1 species